UAAAUGACAGUAUUCGGUGGUUAAAUUAUUCCCUACAUUCGGCAUUGACGGUGAAACGCAUGAAAAUCAAGAAAAAGAUGUCGAAACUUUCCUGGAGCGUAUAUCAUCAAGUCACCUACUAUGCAGAAUCACAAAAACAGAUUGGCGUAAAACACCUCUUUGGAAAAACACCGAAAGCCUCUUGUAUCUUGUAAACAGCCGAAGUUAUAGUGAGAAAACGGAACUUAGGACGUAGCCUGUGGCAGGUGAUGAAUGAGAAGAGUUACAGAAGAUGCAGUAUUUACACCAAGAGGUCCACAGUUGACCAAAUCAAGAUGUCGAAUGAAAAUGAAACCGUAACCUUCGAUCUACCAACAAAGAGUUCAACUUUUCUAGGAUAUUUGGCCGACGAAGAAGAUGCCUCCUUCACCUUCGAAGUUGAAGGAUUCGAGUUGGAAGGGGGAAAAGAAAUAUCCGCCACAAAAUCCCACCAGUCAUUCGAAGCAAAAAUAUGGCAUUUAAUGAAGAUCUGGAUAACAACUAAAGCGUACACAACAUCAACAGUGCUCAUCUAUCCAAACACCACUUAUCGUAUAAGUGGAGAUGGGCAACCCCGAAACAUCAAAAUCAACAGCACCAAAACAGUCUACUGGACACAAUGCAACAACUAUCACAGCUGCUGUAAGUUUAUUCUUACGCUCUUUAUGUAUUCUUUCAUGAAUUCCUGCUCUUACGGCACUUACUGAUUAUAUUGUUUAAUAAAUCUAUACAUUCGCAAUACUUUAUCGAUAGAAAUGGUAAAAUAAAGCGUUUCCAGAAAAAAAAAAAAUCAGGGAGAAAAGGGAGAUUUCUGCUUAAACUACAUAACAACAAAAUUAGUUUUAAGCUAACAAAACAAAUUAUAUAUAUAUAUAUAUAUAUAUAUAUAUAUAUAUAUAUAUAUAUCAGAUGUUUACGUAAUUUUUCAGUUUUUAGUCAACCUUGUGAUUUUGUUAACAUUUAAUAUUAAGGCAUUUAGUAUUUAAGUAUUUAUUUUUAAGGAAAUUUGUAUUGUGGUGAUUUUGCGCCUCCUCCCCGCUCGUUAAAGUUUUUGAAUUACCCUUUAACACUCGUAUCUUUUUUGUUUACGUUUGGGUACGUGACUGGACUCCUCGGUGAGGGAGGUGAGAAGAGACAGAGCGAGUGUUUGGACAGACAGUUCGGGCUUUCUACAGAGGCUGUCCCUUUUUUGCUCUGCAGCUGCCGCACUUACUAUAUUUUAUCCACGCUUUUGGAAGUAUUGUGAGCCGUCCUUCGCAGGUACACAUCUGGCCACCUGCGGUGUGUGUACGCUGUACUUUGAGUGCUGUCCUUCGCAGGUACGCUUCUGGCCACUUGCGGUGUUGCGUCCUGCUUGUAUUGCAGGUGAUUUGUGCCACCUGCGGACUUAUCUCGCUGCCACCUCAGUGGAAGAUUUUUCCUGAGGUGUUAGAAGCAUUUGCUUUUCCAGGACGCCUUGGAACUUAUUGCAGCUGUGGGGGCCUUGAUGCCCGUCAGAAGUCAAGUAGGGAGACAGAUCCCAGGUAAGCGUUCCUUUUUGUAUGGUCGUGCAGGACCUCUCGACUCCUCCUUCCUGGUGCUUCUGUACUCCCCUGUUAGCAGAGUUCUGAAAUUAUUUGGAUCACGGCCUACUGUAAGGCAAGACCUUUUGUUAUUAGUCCUGGAUCACGGACUCCCCUUCUGAGUACUUCUCUGGGUCAGUUCUUAACGCACCCGACUGCCGAGGAGCUUCGUCCAUGAGCUCGACAACGUUGGUUUUGAUAAUCGUCUGCGGGUUGCUGGGCGUGGCUGUCAUAGGGCUGGUUACUCUUGUUGUGGUACUACUCAUGCGAGGGAAGAAGAAGACGAUGCCUCAAGAACCCGAAGGAAACGUGACAGAAGAGGCCAUCUACGAGGAAGUCAGUCUGUCGGGCACACUUGGCAACUUUCACAGAGGACCACGAGAGCAUCAACAGCCUGUAUGGGUAUAGGACUGAGAGAGAUGGGUGAAACCGUGAGACUGAGAGAGAGCAGGACUCCCGUCAGAGUAGAAUUGUUUGCACUUGAAACCUUGGGUUCAAGUCUACUGUGGUUCUAGGUAGUGGCGGAUCUAGAAAUCUUUCAUUUGAGGGUGGGUGGGCCCCACUUGGGAUUAUC